AGCAGUGUAAAAACAGACUAAUACAGCCCAGAUACAUAUAUUUUUUUAAACAGGGUCUCACUUUGUCACCCAGGUUGGUGCAAUCAUACCUAGUGACACAAUCUUGGCUCACUGCAGCCCUGAAUACUAAGUAUUCAAAAUACAUGUUUUGUUUAAAGAGGGUCAAUAAAAUAACUAAGUCAACUAUUUUAUCUUUUACACAUGAAGAAUCACAGGGAAAAAAGUUAAGCAGCUAUUCCAAAUUACAUAGUUUGAAAGCCACAUCCCAAAUACAAAAUCCAAUAUUCUUUAGGUUGUAAAGAAUCCUGCAGAGGAUUGUAAAAGGAUAGAAGUGAGGAUCCCUUUCUGUGUAAUACUGUUAAAAUUGAGAUCCUUUGAUUUACAUGAUAGCUUGAAUUCUAAAUAUAAAAUAAUAUUGGGGCAAAAUUAGCCAUGCCACUUAAAAGUCUCUUGAAAGGUUUAGUGUUUACUUUUUAACCAAUAUAUAAUUGUAAGAGGCAUACUUGGAACAACCCCCAAACACAUAUACUAAUCAACUAAUACAGCGGCAGCAUAACACACAGGGAGUUUUAUCCUUUUUGAAGGCCUGGCAUGUGUAUCACAUUUAACACAGCCCUAGCUCACAGUACUUUAUCUACCCGGCUAGAAAGCAAAUGGCCACAGAAAUUCAUGCUAGUCAAUCUAUUUUUCAUAUAUUUUGGAGUACAAAUGAUGUAAAUUCACCUGAGUAGAUAACUAGCAUACAAAGAAAUCCUAAUGAUUUCAUCUAGAACACAUUACAAAUAACAGGAUAUAAAUGCAUUCAAAUGUAAUAGUCACAUAGGAAUAUCAAUUUUGACUACCUUCUUCCCACAAAUCACAAUGACUUCUGAGCACAGCUCUCAAGACUUUUAAAUGCUUUCUGGAACUCUUUUUCCAUUUAGGAAUAAGCAACUACAUACACCAGUUCAUGGAAAACUCAAGCACUUAACUAUUUCAGUGAAAAGAGGUAGAAAGAAAAUCUAUGAACUAUACUUUUUAUCCAUUUGAAAACAUUUAAAUUUGGAAAGGACUCAAUUCAUUCUUAGGAUCCCAACACACUAAAAAUAAAAUUUAUUCUAAAUUUGCACAUUUGUCAAAGACAAUAAUAUCAAGCAGUAGCCCACAAUUCCCUAAAGGAAUGAUGUCAAUUGGUAUUUCUUAAAUUAAUUCAGUGACCUACAGUAAUGGGAGUUCUUGGUACAUAAUGUCUGUCAGCAGUCAAUACAAAAAUUUCAGAAUCACUUCUGGUGUCUGAACUCCAAAAUGCAACCCAAAAGAUGUGUCUAAAGAAGUUCCUUAAUUCCUACUUCACCUUGCAUCUGUUACUUUCAGAAAAAUAAAAACUAUACCAGGUAUAGAUUGCUAGAACUACAGUUCUAGAAAUUAAAUAUAGUACAAAUGUAACCAAGAUUUCUGGUAAUAUAUAAUCAGUUAUCUUUCUGAGCUAAGACAUUACAAGUCUGUGAAACUCCUUUUACCAACUAUAGUGAGUUUCACAUGUGCUUACAUGGCUCAUCUUUAGUUACUUACUAGACAAUGUGCAAUGGCAUACUUUUACAAAAAUUUCAAAGGUCUCAAGAAAUGGAAAUACUCAAAUUUAAAGAGUUUAUCUGUUAUCUCUGAACUCUCUUUCUCUGCUUUUACUGUUCCCAAGUAUACAGGUGCCCCCAACACAGAGAUCAGCUAAAAAUUUAGGAACAGAAAACUCCAACUACGUCAUCUUAACAAAUAAGCCCAUACAUUAUAGUUUAAAAAUAGCAUAUUUGAAACAAUGCACUAAAAAUUAUAACUUCAUACUCAAAUGCCUAAAAUGUUGUGAUUAAAAUAUUCCAAAAUUGGAUUAUAGUGAUAGCUGUACAACCUUAUAAAUUCACCAUAUAUCAAUUCUAUACUUAGUAUGAGUGAAUUUUAUGAAAUGUAUAUAUAUAUAUAUAUAUAUAGACAUAAAAAAGAAAAAAGAAAGAUUACUGGUUGAUUCUUAAAUUGACUAAUGAUAAUAACUACUACUCACUGAAAAUUUGCUUGGGUUCAAUAAUUGUUCGGAGUGCUUCAUAUGUUAAAUCAUUUAAUCUUCAACACAAUCCUAUGAAGCUGGAACUAUUUUAUUCCAAUUUCAGAGAUGACAUAACUCAGGCAUGGGAAAAUUAAAUAGCAUGCUCUAGCUCACAGAACUAAAUAUUAACUUAUAAAAAUAAAACAUUCUACUUUAAAUGCUAAGCAAUAGCACUUAAAUGCUAAGCAACAGCACUUAUCUAAAACAAAAAAAAAGAAGACAACAACACACGUGUAUAAACAUGGUAAGUUCCCCAUAAGAAGCGUAUUUAAGAUUUUCCAAGAAGUGACCAAACUGCAACACUUCUGACUAUAUAUACUAGCCAUUGAAACAAGUAAUAAGUAUAAUAUUUAUUGUAAAACAGCUUGGCCAGUACCUGGUUCAUAUUCAGUGAGAGACUUAAUUACUAUAGACAAAUGUAAAGAAUGCUCAUGAUCUAAUCUACUGAAUCACUAUGUUCAUACAGACACAGAAAUAUCACUAUGGGUACACAUAAAUACAACUUUAUUCUGCAAGAGUCAUACAUAAACACACACACAACUCUGAGUCACACAAUCUAUAUAACAAAGAUUUUUCUAAUGCCUCAUGUCACAGAACUGCAAGCAUAUCAUUUUGUUCCUGUAACUGAAAUGCACAAUGGACAAGACCACAGUGUGUUUUAUCUUUUUCAUAUGAAAGCUCAGUAAUAUAUUUCACAUGGCAGUAAACCAACAUGACUGAAAAACUUGGAGAUACUAACUUCUCGUGUAUCUACCAGUAAACACUCUCAAAUUUACAGACAGUCCUAGAAAAAACAGCUGAUAAAUGAACCAUGUUGUAUGUAGUAUUUUUUUUUAAACUAAAGCACAUAAAUGGUCAGUAAGCCUGACACUUACAUAUUUGACAACAACGUAUUUUAAACAGUCUAAUAAAACACAAAGCACAGAUGUAGAGGAAGCAGGAGAUGUAACUAAAACCACAUUCACCUUCAAUUCCUUUGCAGGCUAGCACUGGAAAACCUGCAUCAGCACUUUCUGUCUAGAUGAUAUAUCGAUGCAAAGCUAGCAUAAAAAUGGUGCUAAAAAAAAAAGUACCAUUUGUAAUUGAAAAUAAAUGUUGCUAAGUGCUGACAAGCUUCUGUCAGUUAAAUUGUUUUCACUUAUAUUUUCCCUGUUUCCUCUAGUAUUCUUAAGAAAUGUUGUAAUUAAUUUUUGUUCUAAACUAAUAAUUAAAUGCUUCUGUGUAUUAAUUACACAAAUUAGUAAUAUUUACAUUUAAGACAUUCAUUUAAAGUUGAAGAAGGCAUUUAAUAAAAGUUAAUUCCUACCCUUAAUUCUCUUAAAAUUUAACGUCCACCUAGAAAACACUGCUUGAGUAAUAAAUUUAUGAUUCAAUAUAGUUAUCAGCCUAUAGCUAAAAAUGUGCAGAUCUAUAUAACCAAGCACACUAAAAGUUCCCAUGGGUAACAUAUAACCAUGAGUAACUCUCAUAAUUCAACAUGCACUACAGUAAGAACCAUUACAACUGCAUGUUUUUAUUGUUAGGUCCCAAUCCAUUUUUAAAAGAAGCUGUACAUGCACAUCGCCAACUUACACAUACAUGCAUGCAAAAUUAAAUGACCUACAGGGUAUCUUAUGAAAAACUUGAGAGUUUUUUUUAAGACAUCAGUAUAACCUUGCUUAAAUAAUCUUAUGGUCUCCAUACAAAGAAUUAUUUGAAAUUAUUGAAAAUACAUACUGUAACAUAAAGCUUGUUUCUAAAAGUAACCAGAUUCAAUAUUCAGGUCUAGAAUAAUUACAUUCAUUACAUUAAAUUUAAAUGGAACAAAUAAUUAUGCUGAGCUUCUACAGGAUUGCCCUCAAAAUCCUAUACAUAACUAAAAAAGCGAGCAAAAUAUAUAAAGCUAUUUCAGAUAGUGGACAAAAGGCAGAAGAGGCCCGUGAUUAUUAACAGAAGGGCAACAAAUCAGGUGAUAUCUAAGACUGCCUCUCUUCCAACCUAGACGCAAAGUCCAAACUGUGGUAUAAGAAUAGGGAAAUCAAAAAGAGCUUCAUGGUCCAAAUAAGUUGAGAUACAGAUCAGAGUUUGAAGAGGCCGGGAUGGCUGUAAUCUGUGCGACAUAUUACAGACAAAGAAAAUGCUAUGCAGAGAUUGGCAUAAGAACACUCAGGAGGCUUUGAACAGGAAUCCGUGCUGUAUAUGGUGAAACCCCAAGCAGCCAAGUAAAAAAUAGCUAGCAGGAAAAGAUCAAUUUCAGGGGGGCUAUAAAGUGAAAAAUUCCAAGAAUGAAGAGACCUUGUUGUUGAAUACCCAGAGUAGUCUGCAGAGGCUCCAGAAAGCUCAUGCCAUAGUAGUGAGUCUAAACUAGCUCUAAAGAAUACCGUAGAGUAUCCUUGAAAAGCAUAAAAAUAAGCCUUGAUAUGAUCAGACUGAUCUGCAAAUAAUUUAAAUGCCUACCAAAAAAGUGGAGGGUGGUAGAGAGACCAUUUAAAAGAAAAAUGUAAUUAGUAUUACAUUAGUAACCAAAAAGAAAAGCCAAUGUAAAUUAGUAUUUACAGUGUUCAAAUUCAGCUGAACAAUGUAAAUACUAAUAUUCAUGCCUAAUAGUUAAAAAAUAAAUAAAUAAAGACAGGCAAAUAAAAGGCAGGGAAAUGUUACCCAGAACUAGGAGAAAAAUCAGUCAAUAAAAACAGGUCCAGAAUUAACAAAGAUAACAAAAUUAACAUAAAAAGGCCUUAACCCAGCUAUUAAAAUAAGUUCAAUAAGAUUAAAGACUUAAAGGAAAUAUGAACAUAAUUAGAAGACAAACAGAACAUAUUAGAACAUUUGGUUCUUAAGAAGAACCAAAUUGUCUAAAUAUUUUUAAACAUUUUUGAUAGGAAAAUUUUGCUGGAUGACAUGAUCAGCAGACAAAACACUACAACUUCACUACAAAAUAUCAGUGAAGUUGAAAACAUAGCAAUAUAAAUUAUUUUAAACCAAGUACAAAGGAAGAAAACAUUUUAAAAUGAAUAGUCUUGAUAAUAUGUAAGGACAACAAAUAAUCUAACAUUUUUGUAUUCAAGUACUAAAAUGAGAGGAAAGUGGUCAAGAAAAUAUUUAAAAAAAAACAUGCCCCUAAUUUUUUUGAAUAAACACUACCAGCCUGCAAAUCCAAGAAGUUCAACAAAGCCCAGUCAGAAUAAAGAAAAUCCAUGACAAGACAUGUUAUAAUCAAAUUGCUAUUAAAAAAAAGUAAUAAAGAGAAAAUCUUAAAAGUAGCCAGAAAAAAAAAGGCACAUUAUCUACAUAGGAGCAAACAUAACAAUAACACAUAAGUCUUGUCAGAAACUAUGCAAGCUGGAAGGAAAUGAAAUGACGUUCUUAGAGUGCUGUAAGAAAAAAAUUGUGAAACUAAAAUCACACAGCCAGAUCAAAUAUGUUUCAAAAAUGAACAUAAAAUAAAGGCAAAGAUGUUAUUAUCAAUAUACCAAGGACCCAGGCAAAGCCCACAACGCACCUGAAAUUCUCUAGAUCAAGCUCAAAAAAAGGAGUCCCUGUGAAAGUGACCAUCAGGAUGGCACCACCCCACCAGACCUCCUUGGAGAUUUUUGCGUACCUGAACGAAGUCACAGGGAAGCACGGCGUGGGCUGUAUUGACAUUAUGGAGAACUGCUUCAUUGGAAUAAAGUCCAAAGGCAUCUACAAGACCCCAGCAGGCACCAGCCUUUACCGCACUCAUUUAAGACAUUGAGGCCUUCACCAUGGAUCAGGAAGUGCACAAAAUCAACCCUGAGUGUAAAUUUGUCCAUCAUUACACCACCAAGUCCCAGGAGCAAAUGGAAGGGAACGUGUGCAGGUGCCCAGCUUCAAGGGCCGUACAUCAUCAGCCAGGAGUUGCUACCAUCUCUCUACAAGGGGGAUCUCGUGCGCAUCAACGUGCAGGGCAAUUAUGAGCCAAUUGAUGGCACCGGUUUCAUCAACACUAAUUCCCUCAGGCUGAAGGAAUAUCGUUGUUUCCACAGUAAAAAGUGAACUGGGGCCUUCUCACUUCGCAGAUCUCCAAAGUACAGGUGCUAAUUGUUGUGAUAAUUUGUAAGUGUGACUUGUUCUCCCCAGCUGGCAGAAUAGUGGGGGUGCUAGGCCCCAACUUUGUUCCUGGUCCCCCUGAAGCCUGCAAAAGUGGUCAUCGAAUGGAAGGGUAGGAGGCAACUGCAGUAGUGAACUAUAAAAUGACAAUUUAUUAAAAAGAAGACAUAAGAAUUCUAAAUAUUUAUGCACCUAAUAAUGGAGUUUCAAAACACGUGAAGCAAAAAUUAGAACUGAAAGGAGAAAAAAACAAACCUAUAAUAAUAGUUGAUUUCAACACUACUCUCUCAGUAACUGACAAAACAAAGAGACCAGAAACAGUAAGGAUAUAAAAUAGUUGAGUGGUACCUUUAACAAGUUGACCUAUUUGAUAUUUACAGAACACUCACCCAGCAAUAGCAGAAUACACACGAUUUGCUAACACACAUUUAAAAAUUAACAAAACCGGGCACAUUCCAGGCCUUAAAAAAAAAAUUGACUGAAAUCACUCAGAGUACUUUGUUUGAUCACAAAGGAAUUAAAAUAGAAAUCAAUUAAGGAAGAAGUCUUGAUAUAUCUGGAAGUCAAACAAUAUAAUUCUAAAUAACCAAUGGAAAAAAGAAAUCACAAGGGAAAUUUUAAGACAUCUUGAAUAAAAAUCAAAACACAAUAUAUAAAAAUUGGUGGGGAAAAAGCUAAAAUACUGCUCAGAACAGUGUUUCCCCAAAUGUGCUGCACACUAAAAUUCAUAUGGGAAGUUUUUUUAAAAUCCCAUUGUACCCCCUAUCAAUUUAAUCAACUAAAUAAAAAUAUCUGGGGUUGGGAGACAGAAUUAUUCAUUUUUAAGGAUUCCCCAGAAUAUUUCAAUUUGCAACAAAAUUUGGGAGCCACUGUUUUAGAUGAAAUUUUGUAGUAAAAAUAAAUAAAAAUAAACUUCUACCUUUACAAGUUAGGAAAAAAGCAAAUUAAAAUCAAAGUACAUAGAAAGGGAGAAAUAAUAACAAGUAAAUAAUCAACGAAAUAAAAAACAAACCCAAAGCUGCUUUUUGAAAAACAUUUUUAAAUGAUAAAUACUAGAAUGACCAUCGGAUUAAAGUAGAAAAGAUACAAAUUACAAAUAUCAGAAAUAAAAAUAUUUUCUCCAAAUACUUCAGACAUCAAAACAAUAGAGGAAUAUUAUCAACAAUUUUAUGCCAAUAACUUGCAUAAAUUAAAUGAAUCAACUGCUUAAAAGACGCAAAUUACAAAACUGACUCAAACCCCUUAUCAAUCUCAAAAAUUUAACUCUACCCGUGCGCCUGCGUGGAACGAUUCUUUGGCGAAUGCGGGCCAAAAGCUAGCCCCGGAGUGCACGUGGAGCGCCGCCCGAAGUGCAGUCUCAGGCCGUAAUCCCUGUUCUGUACCAUGGGGCGCAAGUUGGACCCUACAAAGAAGGAGAAGCGGGGGCAAGGCCGAAAGGCCAGAAGCAGAAGGGUGCCGAAAGGAACUCGCCAGAUUUUCGCCUGCAGUAAGUGAUGAAAAUUCCAAGAGGCUGUCUAGUCGUGCUCGAAAGAGAGCAAUCAAUAGGACUUGGGCUCUGCGGAAGCCCCUGAGACAAGGAAGUCUCCUGUGGCCAAGCCCUUGCCUGGAAAGCUCCCGAAAGGGAUCUCUGCAGGAACUGUCCAGACAGCUGGUAAGAAGGGAACCCAGUCCCUAUUUAAUGCUGCUAAGAGGAGGAGGAAGACUCUGAAGAAGAUGGUGUGGUGAACCACGGGGACCUCCGGGGCCCCGAGGACAGUGAUGCUGAUACGGUAAAUGACUAUAGAACUGACUCCAACUCUGAGAAUGUGACGAGGAAGGUGAAGAGUGCUGCCCAUUGAAAAAGCUGCUCGUAAGCAGAAGGCCCGGGAAGCUUCUGCUGGGGUUCAGUGGAGUGAAGAGGAGAUGGAGGCCGAAGAGGAAGAGGAAGAAGUGACCCCUGAGUCAGGCCCCCCAAAGGAGGAGGAGGCAGAUGAGGGCCUGCAGAUCAAUGUGGAUGAGGAGGCAUUUGUGCUGCCCCCUGCUGGGGAGAUGGAGCAGAAUGCCCAGGCUCCAGACCCACAAGGAGUUCACAAGUGAAUCCAGGAUAUUGUGAGGAUUCCUGCGUGAUUUGGGGGCUCAGCAGGAGGAAGGGCGGUCUCGUUCUGAAUAACUGAACUGUCUCAAGAAGGAUCUGGCCACUUACUACUCCUAUGAAGACUUUCUGCUUGGCAAGCUCAUGGACCUCUUUCAUGGACCUGUUUCCUCUGUUUGAGCUGGUGGAGUUCUUAGAAGCUAAUGAGGUACCUCGGCCCGUCACCCUCCAGACCAACACCUUGAAAUCCCAACGCCAAGAGCUUGCCCAGGCUCCAAUCAAUCGUAGGGUUAACAUGGAUCCCCUGGGCAAGUGGUCAAAGACUCGACUAGUGGUAUAUGAUUCUUCUGUGCCCAUUGGUGCUACCUUCGAGUACCUGGCUGGGCACUAAGGGAUUCUCCAGCAUGUUGCCCGUCAUGGCCUUGGCACCGCAGGAACAUGAGCGGAUCCUGGACAUGUGUUCUGCCCCUGGAGGAAAAAUCAGCUACAUGGCCCAGCUGGGGAAGAACACAGGUGUGAUCCUUGCCAAUGACGCCAAUGCUGAGCUGCUCAAGAGUGUUGUGGGCAACUUGCCCCAGCUGGGAGUUACCAACACCGUUAUCAGCCACUAUGAGGGGCACCAGUUCCCCAAGGUGGUGUGGGGCUACUGCUGGAUGCUCCCUGCAGUGGCACUGGGGUCAUCUCCAAGGACCCAGCUGUGAAGGCUAACAAGGAUGAGUGCUCACCUCUAGGAGUUGCUCCUGUGUGCGACCGACUGUCAAUGCCACCUCCAAGACAGGAGGCUACCUAGUUUACUGCACCUGUUCUAUCAUGGUGGAAGAGAAUGAGUGGGUGGUAGACUAUGCUCUGAAAAAGCAGAAUCUGCGACUGUUGCCCACAGGCCUAGACUUUGGCCAGGAAAGUUUUACCCGCUUUUCAGAAAGGCGCUUCCACCCCAGUCUGCGUUCUACCUGACGCUUCUACCCUCAUAUCCACAAUAUGGAUGGUUUCUUUAUUGCCAAGUUCAAGAAAUUCUCCAGUUCUAUCGCCCAGUCCCAGAAAUUCUGAAACAGCCACACCUACAAAUGUAGACUUGCCUCAGGUCACCCCAAGUCUGAGAACAGCAGCCAGCCAGCCAAGAAGGCCAAAGGGGCUGCAAAGGCAAAGCAGCAGCUGCAGAAACAGCAACAUCCCAAGAAGGCCUCCUUCCAAAAGCUGAAUGGCAUCUCCAAAGGGGCAGACUCAGAGCUGUCCACUAUACCUUCUGUCACAAAGACCCACGCUUCCUCCAGGCUCAAAAAUUGCAGUCAGACAGCUGGAAAAGCCAAAGGGAUCAGGGAGCAAAAAGGUGACUGGGAAGCUAAAGCAACGAUCACCUAAAUUACAGUCCUCCAAGAAAGUUGCCUUCCUCAACACAAUGCGCCUCCCAAGGGCACGAACACAGAAACACUGGCUGUGCUAUUCCCAUCAAAGACCUGGGCCACCCUUAAGCCUAAGGGCCAUCAUCAGCCCUUUGGAAGGGCCAAAGGGGUUGAGAAACAGCAGUUGUCAGAGCAGCCUUUCAAGAAAGCUGCCUUCCAGAAACAAAAUGGCACCCCUAAGGGCCCUUAGUCUCCCACUGUGUCUCCUGUCAGUUCCAGCCAUGCACCCCCCCACCACCACCAGCAGCAAAGAGGAGGAAAUCUUAGUCCAGGGGCAACAGCCAGCCACUCAUCUCAGAUGGCUGA